GGAGAGAAACAAGAAGCGACAUUAAUCACUGCGGUGGAUCCACGGCCAAGAGUCCGGUGAUAGAGCCGCAACACUGGGUUUCCUCCGCAUUGCUGCCGGUGAGACCAGCAGGUUGGAGAGGAGAAAGCAGCGACUGAAGCAGGUGUAUUAGAAUCGUCCAAAGUAAAGAUGAUGUCAUCUGAUGUAAUGAAUCAUCAUCAUCAUCAUCAUCAUCAUCAUCAUCAUCAUCACACAGUGACACACAAACAUGCAGCACACCUCUGUCAGUGUGCUGCAGAUAACUGAGCUGUAGCUGGUAGUUAUUUAAUCAAUUACUUGAUUGGCAUAAAAACACAUUUGAAAUAAAACCAUUAAGCUUCA